GGCUAUCAUUUUGAAGAACUACAGAAUUCCUAAGGCAGUCAGUCCAAAGAAUAAAUUAUCUGAAAAGGCUUCAGCUGCAGAUUAAAGAACCAUGCCGGUUGCUGUGACUCCAAACAGAGAGGAAAGAAAUCCUCCCCGAGCCCCAUGGGUUUACAGAAGUCUAUCAAUCACUCUGUCAGUCUUCCGGAUCAUAAUUCAAGUUGCUAUCCCCAAUUUUGUUGGAUAUAUCAGAUCUACUCCAGUUCCAUAGAUGAUCAGUGUGCUUUUUUCCUAGUUUUAAAGACACCAAAGUGGAAAACUGGUGGAUAUUAUAAGGAUACCCUAAAAAGUACAUUGUUGCCAUGACAAUAAAAAGGAGAGCAAAUGUCCAAA